GUUUUGCGUUAGGGAUAGAAGCGGAUACCGGCCAAUGAGCGUAAUGCCUGCAGGCGUAUGAGCGGAUAGCCCGGCCGUAG
rnacentral:misc_RNA from 1 species